GGGAAUAUGGGACAAUGGGGGAAACCCUGAUCCAGCAAUGCCGCGUGAGUGAAGAAGGCCUUAGGGUUGUAAAGCUCUUUCACCCGCGAAGAUAAUGACGGUAGCGGGAGAAGAAGCCCCGGCUAACUCCGUGCCAGCAGCCGCGGUAAUACGGAGGGGGCUAGCGUUGUUCGGAAUUACUGGGCGUAAAGCGUACGUAGGCGGAUGCGCAAGUUGGGGGUGAAAUCCCGGGGCUUAACCUCGGAAUUGCCCUCAAAACUGCACGUCUUGAGGACGAGAGAGGUAAGGGGAAUUCCUAGUGUAGAGGUGAAAUUCGUAGAUAUUAGGAAGAACACCGGUGGCGAAGGCGCCUUACUGGCUCGGUACUGACGCUGAGGUACGAAAGCGUGGGG
rnacentral:rRNA from 1 species